UCUAAGGAAUGUGGGAUGGUCUUCAGUCA
rnacentral:piRNA from 1 species